CGAAUACGGAGGGUGCGAGCGUUAAUCGGAAUUACUGGGCGUAAAGCGCAUGCAGGCGGCCUGUUAAGUCAGAUGUGAAAGCCCGGGGCUUAACCUCGGAAUUGCAUUUGAAACUGGCAGGCUAGAGUCUUGUAGAGGGGGGUAGGAAUUUCAGGUGUAGCGGUGAAAUGCGUAGAGAUCUGAAGGAAUACCAGUGGCGAAGGCGGCCCCCUGGACAAAGACUGACGCUCAGAUGCGAAAGCGUGGGGAGCAAACAGGAUUAGAUACCCUGGUAG
rnacentral:rRNA from 1 species